UUGGACCGGAUCUUCAUGCAUAAACAAAUGUUAGAAACACCCUUUUCCCAAAAGCCACCGCCUCCACAUCUAUCACUGGAUUACUUGAGUAUAGAAUCUUAACCUGAUACUCAUUAUUUAUAAAAAAACGCUAAUCCACCACUUCUCCCAUUUGGAUCCACUGUAACCAAAUUAUCGAAUCCAGAGUGGAGUUGAAAUCUCUGAACGAAGUCAAACUCCUUCUUUGUUUCU
rnacentral:lncRNA from 1 species